rnacentral:rRNA from 1 species
GACGAACGCUGGCGGCGUGCUUAACACAUGCAAGUCGAACGAUGAAGCCUAGCUUGCUGGGUGGAUUAGUGUCGAACGGGUGAGUAACACGUGAGUAACCUCCCCUUGACUCUGGGAUAAGCGCUGGAAACGGCGUCUAAUACCGGAUAUGACCUCCCCCGGCAUCGGGUGUGGGUGGAAAGUUUUUCGGUCAAGGAUGGACUCGCGGCCUAUCAGCUUGUUGGUGAGGUAAUGGCUCACCAAGGCGACGACGGGUAGCCGGCCUGAGAGGGUGACCGGCCACACUGGGACUGAGACACGGCCCAGACUCCUACGGGAGGCAGCAGUGGGGAAUAUUGCACAAUGGGCGAAAGCCUGAUACACCAACCNCCGCGUGGGGGAUGACGGCCUUCGGGUUGUAAACCUCUUUUAGUAGGGAAGAAGGGCUUCGGCUUGACGGUACCUGCAGAAAAAGCACCGGCUAACUACGUGCCAGCAGCCGCGGUAAUACGUAGGGUGCAAGCGUUGUCCGGAAUUAUUGGGCGUAAAGAGCUCGUAGGCGGUUUGUCGCGUCUGCUGUGUAAACCCGAGGCUCAACCUCGGGCCUCCAGUGGGUACGGGCAGACUAGAGUGCGGUAGGGGAGAAUGGAAUUCCUGGUGUAUCGGUGGAAUGCGCAGAUAUCAGGAGGAACACCGAUGNCGAAGGCAGUUCUCUGGNCCGUUACUGACGCUGAGGAGCGAAAGCGUGGGGAGCGAACAGGAUUAGAUACCCUGGUAGUCCACGCCGUAAACGUUGGGAACUAGAUGUGGGGACCUUUCCACGGUCUCCGUGUCGCAGCUAACGCAUUAAGUUCCCCGCCUGGGGAGUACGCCGCAAGGCUAAAACUCAAAGGAAUUGACGGGGGCCCGCACAAGCGGCGGAGCAUGCGGAUUAAUUCGAUGCAACGCGAAGAACCUUACCAAGGCUUGACAUAUACCGGAAACUUCCAGAAAUGGUUGCCCCGCAAGGUCGGUAUACAGGUGGUGCAUGGUUGUCGUCAGCUCGUGUCGUGAGAUGUUGGGUUAAGUCCCGCAACGAGCGCAACCCUCGUUCUAUGUUGCCAGCACGUUAUGGUGGGAACUCAUAGGAGACUGCCGGGGUCAACUCGGAGGAAGGUGGGGAUGACGUCAAAUCAUCAUGCCCCUUAUGUCUUGGGCUUCACGCAUGCUACAAUGGCCGGUACAAAGGGCUGCGAUACCGUAAGGUGGAGCGAAUCCCAAAAAGCCGGUCUCAGUUCGGAUUGAGGUCUGCAACUCGACCUCAUGAAGUCGGAGUCGCUAGUAAUCGCAGAUCAGCAACGCUGCGGUGAAUACGUUCCCGGGCCUUGUACACACCGCCCGUCAAGUCAUGAAAGUCGGUAACACCCGAAGCCAGUGGCCUAACCGUAAGGAGGGAGCUGUCGAAGGUGGGAUCGGUGAUUAGGACUAAGUCGUAACAAGGUAACC